CUGAUGACAUCAAAAAGGCUAAAUUACUUGCCUAAGGGCUUACUGUUAUAAAGGAUCAGAAGCAGGUUUCAGAGCUGACUCUAAAAGCUGAUCUCUCUUUGGAAGGCAUCAUUCUGACAGUUUAUAACUUUAUUUACUAAUGUGUUUCGAGCUGGACACUGAUCUUGGAGUUGUGGGAACCCCAAAAGUGCGAACGCUGCCUUCUAUCAGAAGAAGUUGGAACUCUUCUCUCAUUGUUUGGCUCUCUGGAGGAACCUCGGUUAGUAACAGUCCUCCUGGCUUCCGGUCCCAUUCUUCCUGACUUUCUGCCAGGGCAGAUGAGACAUUCCCAUAUCGGGAGUAUGUAAUACUCAAGAUUUAUGGGCAAUAAUAAUCAUUGGAGGAAAUAAUACUACUUGAAGGCCGUUGUUUCAAUGUCAUGAUUUUGUGUGCUGCUGAGAAGGGAGGUUGCAAAACAGGAAAUGGAGGAUAAAUGGAUUCUACAAGUGACUCUCAGGGUGGCAAGGUGAACAAAACAACAAGGAUAGAGAAAAAAUGGAUGCACAAAUUGAAGAAGGAAGACAUAUGGCCUGCUCCUAACGGAACAACCUUCACCACAGCAUUGCUGCCUUCCUGGGGCUGCCUUCUGCAUCCCAUGAGACUACAGCCCUCAUUAUUUGCUUCCUUCCUAGUGAGAUAACUCUCGACACUGCAGGUCCACAGGAACCCAGCCAUCUACCAAGUGACAGUGACAGUGACACAGACCUUCAAACCCAUUCGUAAUUUUAAGCUGUUAGUAGGAAAAUUUUUCUUUCUGUCAGACACAGGAGAGGGAGCACAUGGAAUUGUCUGAAGUUCUGGCUAAGUGUGGCCUUUCAUCAUGAAUGAUGGAUGGAAGAGCCGUGUUGAAAACAGCAUCGUUUAGUAGUGGACUCGGGUUCUUAACCCCAAAAGCUUCUCCAGCUAUUGUUGAGUUUGUGAAAUGCUUGUGUCUUACAGUAUAAAAUGUUAUGUUUAGAUGAGUUAAACAUGUUUCUGCCUGUUUGACAGACUGUACUAAUUCUAUCAUUCCUCAAUAAGAAAUCACUCUUAUUAUUGUAAUUAUUGUAAUGGGAAGUCAGAUGGCACACUUUUCUUCUGCCUUCUUUAUUGAUUAUCUGUCAUCUGUAUUUCCUGCUCCAUUUAAAAUUUUCUAGAUGGUUUCAGAUACUCCAUAAAGGUCGGAUGAACUGGUUGUUAGGAAGCAAGUACAUUAGGAGUCAGUAGUAUCUGAAUUAAAAUCCAAGCAACCUGUGAGUAAAGGAAACAACUUUAGAAUGCUGAUCUGGGUGAGACUUUUGUUAUUCACUUUAUGAUUUUUCUAAGUCAUGUUUUUGACAUAGCUAUAUUUUCGAUGUACAUAUGUAUAUUUGAAUGUACUCAAAGAUAUGUGUAUUUGUGUGCAUGCAUAUGUUUCUGCUAGGUCUCAACAUGACAGAGUGGAAGGCAGAUGGUCAUUUAAUGAUAUAAAAGGCCACAACCAAACCUUAAAGACAGUCCACUUAAAAUUUUGAGACUUUAGAAAAGUUUCUUUUUCACCCUCACUGUUCUAACUGAUUAAAUAGGAAUAAAGAAUUUAUAGGGCCUAAGAUAAUUCUGGGCAUAUGUAGUUGUAGAAAUAGUAACUUUAGGGGCCAGAAAUUUAGCUCAGCAGCACAAACACCUGCCUGGAAAGCACCAGAUCCUGAGUUUGAUCCUUGAUACAAAACCAAAAAAAAGUAAAUUUAUUUUUCUCCUUCUUAGUAUAGUAUAUAAUCUAGUCUUUUCAUUCUUUUUAUCUUAUUAAACUCAUAACUAUUAGAAAUAUAGAAUUUAUUAUCAUGCGUAAAAAUGACUAGAAAUUAUUUCUUUAGCUGAAUUAUUUUGGCAAUUUUUGUUUGUAUUACUUAGUUCAAGAAGUAUGAAUACAUAAAAUAUAUAUUCCUCCUGCUUCACUUAUAUAACUGGUAAUAGCUGUCAUUACCAUUUAUCCUAGAUGAAGUCUCAGAAUUCUCAACACAGUGCCAGCCUCUACCAUCAAUCCACCAGACUCAGCUGUUAAAAUGAUUUUCAAAAAUCCUGAUCAUUUUUUUACUGGCUCACACGCAGGUGGACUGAGAACAAGACAGAGUGAUCCCCUACCACUUCCGCAGGUAGUAAUGAGAGAAAUCUCCAGAUCUUUUUUGGAACAGAAAUAUUCAAUAGCAGAAAGAUCCCAGUGAAGCCCUUUGUACAUCCCCUCAUUUCUUCAGCCAGCGUCCUUGGUCCCCAUGCCAAGAGAAUAAGCUGACUCAGCUCUGCUGUUCUUGCCAAGUCUAUAAACUAUUCUCAUCAACCCUUGGUCUGAAAAUCUGUCUUCAGUUUUCAUGUUUAUUUCAGAGUGUAGAUGCCUUUUCCCUGUUCUUUGUUCUAGAAAUAUAUUGGAUCCAACGUAGAAAGCUGUACUAAGGACCUACUAUGUGUUGAGUACACUCACUAUUCAUGCCAGGCACAAAAGGCUAUCUCAUCUCUCAUGGUGCUCUGAGGCAGAUGGCAGUAGUCAGAUGCUGACGCAAGUAGGUAUGUUAGAAUUGCACUGCUGAAGAAAAGCACAUUCAUUCAUUUAAUUACUGGCUAAUUACCUUCAAAACUCAGGACAAAAGUAGGAAUGUAGUUGAUUUGGUUUGUUAAAAUCUAAACCUUAGAUAUUACCAACUCGUAAUGGAUGCAACCUCAAAUUACAUCAUCUUCAUCUACAUAUGUUUGCCUUUAAAAAGUGAUUUAGUCCCACUGGCUAAACAGAUUUUUAUUUUCUGAAUGUGCCUUUGCAGAAAUGAGUUCAUUCUUUGGAAUAACCUUCAAAUUCAUUCAACAAGCCUAUUAUUUCCAGAAAAUGGACUAAGUUCUAAGGAGAGGGAAACAGCUCCAAGUCCAGAAAGGUACCCAAAUAAGUAAUUAACAUAAAGUGGAGGCCAGGUGUUCCAUGGCAUUUGAACUGAUACUGAUUGGAUGGUCAGAUGCUCACUGAAUGAUGCAGGGUCUCGGGAGAAGGACUCAGCCAGUCAUCAAGUGCUGGAGCAAUUUAUGAAGCAAUAAGGUGAAUAGUCUGUUAGAUUUGUGGGGUGAGAAAGGAGAAGUUAACAAGAUGGAAGAGUGGGAAAAAUGAGAUAGAACUCAGGCUCAAGACAUGAGGAGUCCUGAAGUUCAUGUCAAAGAGUUAAAAAUCUUAACUAUAAGUAGUUAGAAAGACAUUGCUGUAACAAAAGCCCCUGAGAAAAUCUACUUAAAAGGAAGAAAGGUUUAUUUUGCUUCAGAGUUUCAGAGGGUUCAGUCCAUGGUUGCUUGACCCUGUCACUUUGGGGCAGUAAUGACACAGGUAGGAGAUAAAGAGAGCCACACCAAAGCAGAGAUAAAAACUCUGGUAUGACAUAUUUUAUGUACAGAUGUUUUUCCUCUGCCAUCCCAGAGGGAAUUAAGGAUUCUCAUUUUAAACUAAUUCUGUUUUUUUAAUUUUAAAGUGUAAUUACUAUAUUUUUGGCUAUUAAAAAAUAGAAGAUUAACGGAUUAAAUUAUGCAACCUUUAAAGGAAAUCUAAACAAAUUUAUUGAACCUAAAUUCUAAAGCAGAAUUUUGAAAUGUUCUGAACCAUCACAAUGCCAUUGGGAUAAUGUAUGACCUGACUAAUUUUCUCAACCUUUUGUUUUUCACUCAACACUCAGUUAUAAAGGCCCUAUUUUAUCUUGAGUUCUGAGCAAUAUGAAUGAUGAGGAUAUAGUCGUUUGGAAGGAGCCAAAUAGAGAAUCUUGUGCAUCAGGUUACAAAAUGUUUGCAUUGUUUUGAAAAUAAUUGUAAAACAAGAGUUUAUUUUGGAGACUGUAGGUAUGAUUGUUAAAAUAGUUUUUAAAAAAAUCACUCUUAUACUUUAAUUCACACUUUAUACUCCAGGCAACGUUAAUACUAGAGGAAAGGUCCCCAUGAUGUAUUUUGCACAUUUAUCAAAGAACAGAUUGUAGCAAAAGACUCUGCUUCUGUGACAAUAGCUUUGAUUAACACCUAUCAAAAUAGAACCAUCAUUUGCUCACUUAAGCACUUAUUAAAUAACCCAAUCUGCUACUGAAUUAGAAGACAGAUGCCUCUAUUUCCACACUCCACACCUGCUGAGAGGGCAGUUGCCACCUUCCUCUUCCGGCCCCAGCCACAAGUGACCUUACCCACAGGGAGUCUCAAGCCUGUGCCAGCGAGGUUCUCAGAGCUUUAAAUGUAGAUACUUUCUUAGGGUGAACCCUGCCAUGUUAUCGGUGCCGUUGUAUAAGCCUACAAGGUAAAAGUCCAGUAAUGGUAUCUACCAGAAUGGUAGCCAUUCGGAAUGACUAAACACUCCGGUAAGCUUUCAUUAGUCUGGACCAAGUGCUAUGUCAUCUGUAAAAGUAUGACAAUCGGGAUCCUGUAGAACCCAUGACAAGUGAUGUCCAACCGUUUACUACUCCUGGGACCAACUUACCACUAUACUCCCUUUUUUUGUACGUGGCUGCAUUUUAUUCUGUAAUAUCCAUUUUAGUCUUGCUCUUUGAAGCUAAACAAUACAAUCAUGCUAAAAUUCCUGACAGCUUGUCUGUAGUGGGUCUUCCUUUUCCUCAGCUAAGCAACUAGCUUUCCUAUAGUCUUCAGUAGCAUCCUGCUAGGCCCUCUGUUAUCCUCAAUACUUUCUGGGAGACUCACUCCACGUCUUCAGGGUUCCCCGUUAAAAUGUGAAACCAAGGACUGCACUGAACACAGUACCCUAAAGGCAAUGUCACCAGGAAGCAUGUACAGCACUGUUAAUCCCUUGUAUUCUGAUACUGGACCAAAAAUCUUCUUUGUUCUUUGUCUAGCAGCCAUAUUGAUAAUUUGUUGUUUUCUCAGCAGCUUUGCACUUGCCGUUCUGUCUGUCAGGAGAGCUCUGUCCUCAUGUGGCUCUGUGCUCACUUCAUUUUGUCCCAGUGUCCUCUCCUCCAUGCUUCCCAGCUUCCUUCCUCUCUUGGGUGGCUUCAUUUUUCUCCUGAAUCUAUUAGCAUCUGCUAUAGAAUCAUCUUAUGAAUGUGCAGUUUGUCUUCUUAAAAUGUGUACUCCCUGUGGCAAGAGGUUGUUUUGUUCUCCACUUCAUCUCUCUGGCACAUGGAAUAUAGAAGACAUUCAAUAAAUAAUUUUGAACUUAUUGAAAAUCGAGUGUGCAGUGAGCUGCAAGUUCUGGUACCUUUUCUCACAAAAUGCUGUUAGGUUAAGUCCUUUUCCACUUGCAAUUGAUUGCAUUAAAGAACCUAGAUUUGUUGUUAAACACAAUACAAAUAGGGGAAGAAAACCUCAG